rnacentral:rRNA from 1 species
GAGAGGGUGGCCCCCCACAAUGGAACUGAAACACGGUCCAUACACCUACGGGUGGCAGCAGUAGGGAAUAUUGGGCAAUGGGCGAAAGCCUGACCCAGCAACGCCGCGUGUGCGAUGAAGGCCUUCGGGUCGUAAAGCACUUUUCUGGGAGAUGAGAAAGGACAGUAUCCCAGGAAUAAGUCUCGGCUAACUACGUGCCAGCAGCCGCGGUAACACGUAGGAGGCAAGCGUUAUCCGGAUUUACUGGGCGUAAAGCGCGUGCAGGCGGUUCGGUAAGUUGGAUGUGAAAGCUCCCGGCUCAACUGGGAGAGGUCGUUCAAUACUACCGGACUUGAGAGUGGUAGAGGAAGGCGGAAUUCCCGGUGUAGUGGUGAAAUGCGUAGAUAUCGGGAGGAACACCAGUGGCGAAGGCGGCCUUCUGGACCAUUUCUGACGCUCAGACGCGAAAGCUAGGGGAGCGAACGGGAUUAGAGACCCCGGUAGUCCUAGCAGUAAACGAUGUGAACUUGGCGUUGGUGGUGUAAAAACCAUCAGUGCCGAAGCUAACGCGAUAAGUUCACCGCCUGGGGACUACGGCCGCAAGGUUAAAACUCAAAGGAAUUGACGGGUCCCCGCACAAGCAGCGGAGCGUGUGGUUUAAUUCGAUUUUACACGAAGAACCUUACCCGGGUUUGACAUGUAGGUGGUAGUGAAGCGAAAGCAGAACGACCCUUCGGGGAGCCUACACAGGUGUUGCAUGGCUGUCGUCAGCUCGUGUCGUGAGAUGUCCGGUUAAGUCCGGCAACGAGCGCAACCCUCGCUGUAUGUUACAUGUGUCAUACGGUACUGCCGGUAUCAAGCCGGAGGAAGGAGAGGAUGACGUCAAGUCAGCAUGGCCCUUAUAUCCGGGGCUACACACACGCUACAAUGGUCGGUACAAUGGGUUGCUAAGCCGCGAGGUAGAGCCAAUCCCCAAAACCGGCCUCAGUUCAGAUCGCAGGCUGAAACUCGCCUACGUGAAGGUGGAGUUGCUAGUAAACGCGCGUCAGCUAUAGUGCGUUGAAUACGUUCCCGGGGAUUGUACACACCGCCCGUCACGUCAUGGGAGCUGGCAACACCUGAAGCCGGUAGCCUAACCGCAAGGAGGGCGCCGUCGAAGGUGGGGUCGGUGACUGGGACGAAGUCGUAACAAGGUAGGAGUACCGGGAGGUGCGCCUGG